GUAGGCUGCAACUCGCCUACAUGAAGUCGGAAUCGCUAGUAAUCGCGGAUCAGCAUGCCGCGGUGAAUACGUUCCCGGGCCUUGUACACACCGCCCGUCACACCAUGAGAGUUGGGGAUACCCGAAGCCUGUGAGCUAACUUUUAGAGGCAGCAGUCGAAGGUAGAAUCAAUGAUUGGGGUGAAGUCGUAACAAGGUAAC
rnacentral:rRNA from 1 species